GUGAUGACGUAUUUUUGCAGCGUAUUCCGAUUCGUGGACCACAACGUGUUACUUAUCGAUCUGUCAUCUUACGAGGGUCGGCGAAUCGCACGGUAUCUCGGACUAACGAGUAACUACCCUCGUUAACUCCCGGGCGAAAGGUACGCUUAAUUAAAACUGAUUACUCGAUCCGAGCUCCCGCAGGAACUUCACCUUCGUUUUUGGUCCUUUUUGCGUCGCCGGGUGCGUAACCGAAUGACCCGAAUGCUUCACGUCGCGAUGGAAAGGUAUCGCAACAAAUUUUCCGUGGUAACAUAAUUACACGAGGGCUAUCCAAAAAAUAACUCCCGCUUUCGCAUAGUGAAUGAGGUGAACAUCUGAAUUUCAAUAAAUACGGCGAGUAACACAAGAUUGAAAAACAAGAAGAAAUCCAGAUAUAAUUCAUAUAAGAUAAAUAAUUAUUGUAUUAUUUAGAG